rnacentral:lncRNA from 1 species
GAUGGGUAUGGCAUAAUACGGGACAUCUUUCACAGCCACAUACUUCAGACAAUCGCAUUACUUACCAUGGAACCUCCAAUAAGUCUUGAUGGUGAAGAUAUCCGCAAUGAGAAGGUUAACCUUCAUAAACAAAGAACAUUAUAGUCUUAUGAUAUAUAGACAAGUAGUAGUGUAUUCUUUUUCUGUCAAAUGACCUGGUGACAACAAACCUUCUUCUUCAGGUGAAGGUUUUGAGAUCGACUCGCAGAUUAGAUCCUGCUGAUGCCAUCCUUGGGCAGUAUAAAUACACUUCCGGAGAUAAAAAUGAAGCUAUCUUGAACAGUGUAGGCCCUACAUACUGUGCUGCAGCCUUGUAUAUUGAUAAUGCUCGUUGGGAUGGUGUACCGUUCCUAGUAAGAGUUGGCACUGGCCUCAUUAAACACAGGUAAGAGUUAAUAACUCCUACUCAUGGUAACAUCAUACCGGUAUGUAUAUCAGUUGAUAUAGCAAAUGAUUUGGUGUGCUUUUAAUGUUUAAAA